AUGGAACGCCAGAGGGCGGCCAGACCAGGGGAAAGGAUGCGCCACCACCAUUUAAUCAUGAGGCAUUUGUUCAUAAUUGUAAUACUGAGAAUGCCCAAGCCCCCAAGCGAUGUAGGUCAACCAUACCGAGCCAGGAAACCACUCAUGUGUUUGUCGCUUCCAUUUGACCAACUUAUACUUUUUCUUAUUAUCAGCGGUAUUCCAGUAGAAACCACUCCUGUGUUUGUCAAAACCCGCGUGAAUGCCUUCCGGCAGGUGAUAAAACCCCAUGAGAUACAUAGGCUGCAGCAAGGAGAGACAAGCAUUGAUUAG
rnacentral:rRNA from 1 species